rnacentral:rRNA from 1 species
AUAGCGUAUAUUAAAGUUGUUGCAGUUAAAAAGCUCGUAGUUGGAUUUCAAGGGUCGCAACGUGAAAACGCUUGCUCCCUAUCAGUCUUCGACUGUUACUGUGAGAAAAUUAGAGUGUUUCAAGCAGGCUAUUGCAGGAAUACAUUAGCAUGGAAUAACGAAUGUGUCUAGAAUCUUGGUUAAUUCUAGAAUACGAUUAAUAGGGACAGUUGGGGGCAUUAGUAUUUAAUUGUCAGAGGUGAAAUUCUUGGAUUUGUUAAAGACUAACGUAUG